rnacentral:rRNA from 1 species
UACGGGGGGAGCAAGCGUUGUUCGGAUUUACUGGGCGUAAAGGGCGCGUAGGCGGCGCAACAAGUCACUUGUGAAAUCUCCGGGCUUAACUCGGAACGGUCAAGUGAUACUGUUGUGCUAGAGUGCGGAAGGGGCAACUGGAAUUCUCGGUGUAGCGGUGAAAUGCGUAGAUAUCGAGAGGAACACCUGCGGCGAAGGCGGGUUGCUGGGCCGACACUGAGGCUGAUGCGCGAAAGCCAGGGGAGCGAACAGG